rnacentral:rRNA from 1 species
AUUGAACGCUGGCGGCAUGCCUUACACAUGCAAGUCGAACGGCAGCACGGGGCAACCUGGUGGCGAGUGGCGAACGGGUGAGUAAUGCAUCGGAACGUACCUUUCAGUGGGGGAUAACGUAGCGAAAGUUACGCUAAUACCGCAUAUUCUGUGAGCAGGAAAGCAGGGGAUCGCAAGACCUUGCGCUGAUUGAGCGGCCGAUGUCAGAUUAGCUAGUUGGUGAGGUAAAGGCUCACCAAGGCGACGAUCUGUAGCGGGUCUGAGAGGAUGAUCCGCCACACUGGAACUGAGACACGGUCCAGACUCCUACGGGAGGCAGCAGUGGGGAAUUUUGGACAAUGGGGGCAACCCUGAUCCAGCCAUGCCGCGUGAGUGAAGAAGGCCUUCGGGUUGUAAAGCUCUUUCGGCCGGGAAGAAAUCGCAUGGGUUAAUACCCUGUGUGGAUGACGGUACCGGAAUAAGAAGCACCGGCUAACUACGUGCCAGCCGCCGCAGUAAGAC